rnacentral:rRNA from 1 species
UACAGAGGGUGCAAGCGUUAAUCGGAAUUACUGGGCGUAAAGCGUGCGUAGACGGUCAUGUAAGUCGGGUGUGAAAGCCCCGGGCUCAACCUGGGAAUUGCAUUCGAGACUGCAUGGCUAGGAUGCGGAAGAGGGAAGCGGAAUUUCCGGUGUAGCGGUGAAAUGCGUAGAUAUCGGGAGGAACACCAGUGGCGAAGGCGACUACCUGGCCUGUUCUUGACGCUGAGGCGCGAAAGCUAGGGGAGCAAACGGG